AGAGUUUGAUCAUGGCUCAGGAUGAACGCUGGCGGCGUGCUUAACACAUGCAAGUCGAACGAACCUUCGGGUUAGUGGCGGACGGGUGAGUAACGCGUGGGAAUCUGCCCUCAGGAGGGGGAUAACGACUGGAAACGGUCGCUAAUACCCCAUAUGCCGAGAGGUGAAAUGAAUUUCGCCUGAGGAUGGGCCCGCGUCUGAUUAGCUAGUUGGUGGGGUAAAGGCCUACCAAGGCGACGAUCAGUAGCUGGUCUGAGAGGAUGAUCAGCCACACUGGGACUGAGACACGGCCCAGACUCCUACGGGAGGCAGCAGUGGGGAAUUUUCCGCAAUGGGCGAAAGCCUGACGGAGCAACGCCGCGUGAGGGAUGAAGGCCUCUGGGCUGUAAACCUCUUUUCUCAAGGAAGAAGAUCUGACGGUACUUGAGGAAUAAGCCACGGCUAAUUCCGUGCCAGCAGCCGCGGUAAUACGGGAGUGGCAAGCGUUAUCCGGAAUCAUUGGGCGUAAAGCGUCCGCAGGCGGCCUUGUAAGUCUGCCGUUAAAGCGUGGAGCUCAACUCCAUUUCAGCGGUGGAAACUACAAGGCUUGAGUGUGGUAGGGGCAGAGGGAAUUCCCGGUGUAGCGGUGAAAUGCGUAGAUAUCGGGAAGAACACCAGUGGCGAAGGCGCUCUGCUGGGCCAUAACUGACGCUCAUGGACGAAAGCCAGGGGAGCGAAAGGGAUUAGAUACCCCUGUAGUCCUGGCCGUAAACGAUGAACACUAGGCGUCGGGGGAAUCGACCCCCUCGGUGUCGUAGCCAACGCGUUAAGUGUUCCGCCUGGGGAGUACGCACGCAAGUGUGAAACUCAAAGGAAUUGACGGGGCCCGCACAAGCGGUGGAGUAUGUGGUUUAAUUCGAUGCAACGCGAAGAACCUUACCAGGGUUUGACAUCCUGCGAACCCCUUGGAAACGAGGGGGUGCCUUCGGGAACGCAGUGACAGGUGGUGCAUGGCUGUCGUCAGCUCGUGUCGUGAGAUGUUGAGUUAAGUCCCGCAACGAGCGCAACCCACGUCUUUAGUUGCCAGCAUUUAGUUGGGCACUCUAGAGAGACCGCCGGUGAUAAACCGGAGGAAGGUGUGGAUGACGUCAAGUCAUCAUGCCCCUUACAUCCUGGGCUACACACGUACUACAAUGCUACGGACAAAGGGCAGCGAACUCGCGAGGGCAAGCAAAUCCCAUAAACCGUGGCUCAGUUCAGAUCGUAGGCUGCAACUCGCCUACGUGAAGGAGGAAUCGCUAGUAAUCGCAGGUCAGCAUACUGCGGUGAAUACGUUCCCGGGCCUUGUACACACCGCCCGUCACACCAUGGAAGUUAGCCACGCCCGAAGUCGUUACUCCAACCCUUGUGGAGGAGGACGCCGAAGGUGGGGCUGAUGACUGGGGUGAAGUCGUAACAAGGUAACC
rnacentral:rRNA from 1 species